rnacentral:rRNA from 1 species
GUCCACGCCUUAAACUAUGAAUACUAAGUGUCGGCGGGUUACCGCCGGUGCCGCAGCUAACGCAUUAAGUAUUCCGCCUGGGAAGUACGGCCGCAAGGUUGAAACUCAAAGGAAUUGACGGGGCCCGCACAAGCGGUGGAGCAUGUGGUUUAAUUCGACGCAACGCGAAGAACCUUACCCAGGCUGGACAUGCAGGUAGUAGAAGGGUGAAAGCCUAACGAGGUAGCAAUACCAUCCUGCUCAGGUGCUGCAUGGCUGUCGU